rnacentral:rRNA from 1 species
GAGUUUGAUCGUGGCUCAGAUUGAACGCUGGCGGCAUGCCUUACACAUGCAAGUCGAACGGCAGCACGGGAGCUUGCUCCUGGUGGCGAGUGGCGAACGGGUGAGUAAUGCAUCGGAACGUAUCCUGGAGUGGGGGAUAACGUAGCGAAAGUUACGCUAAUACCGCAUAUUCUGUGAGCAGGAAAGCGGGGGACCUUCGGGCCUCGCGCUCUUGGAGCGGCCGAUGUCGGAUUAGCUAGUUGGUGAGGUAAAGGCUCACCAAGGCGACGAUCCGUAGCAGGUCUGAGAGGAUGAUCUGCCACACUGGAACUGAGACACGGUCCAGACUCCUACGGGAGGCAGCAGUGGGAAUUUGGACAAUGGGGCAACCCUGAUCCAGCCAUGCCGCGUGAGUGA